rnacentral:sRNA from 1 species
CUGCAGUUAGUGUUUGCGCCUUUCUCCUUAUCUUUGUGUCAUAGUCUCUCUGUCCCUCUGUCUCUCUCUCUCUGUUUCUCCGUGUGUGUGUGUGUGUGUGUGUGUGUGUGUGUGUGUGUGUGUGUCUCUAUCUGUCUCCCUCUCCAGCCCCACCCUUUCAGUCUCCUCCGGGUGCACUGAUAAGGUUGGAAAGUGGAAUGGUGGGUAAGUCCAGGGAUCUGGGCUUCAUAAGUAGCCACACGUCUCCCCCAGCCCCUGUCAUACAUGGGGGUCUGCACCGUGCUGAGACAGAGAAAAAAGAGGCGUGGGAAUUUAUAACCCAAUGGCUCUUACCCAUUGCAAUGCCACUCCUGGAAGUCCAACCUCCCUUCCUCCUGCCUGGGUUCAUACACCUGUGUCCUGUCUGAUCCUCAUUCCCACUGUAUGGCUUCCCUUCCUGGUCCUGGGAUAGGGCUCUUUAUCCCCAUCUGUGACAGCCAGAGGGGCUCUGGAGGAAACCAGGUUCCCGACCAUGGUCUGACCUGACUGUGUUAAUGAGCUGAUUGAUCUGAUCUCUCUCUCUCUUGCUGGCUGUUUCAUUCAUGAGCUGGGGCUUUUUCUCUCCUUCCCUUAUAAAUCCCCAAGGCUCAGGGACAACUGUAGGUGGGGAGCGGGAGGAACUGGAGAUAAGAAAGUGAUAGAGCAGAGAGAGUAGUUGUGGGGCCACCUAGGAGAGUCUGGGUAUAGACAACAUCCUCAGCCACUCCCCUUCCCUGAAGGAGGUCUCAGCUGCAGCAGGAGAGAAGGGGCACUGCCUCUCUCCUUAGACUUCCCUUCUUCCCCCCUCAUUUCCCUUCUAGACGCUGACAGAGGCAAAAAUCUGCUAACUCAGGGGGCAGACUCAACCAAGACUGUGAGCAGGCCUGGGGAAUGACCCCCCGAUCUCCAAUCAGUGACUUCCGCAGCUGCACGGCUGUCUCCAGCUGUCUCUGCCCCUCUUCCUGGCCCUGGCUCCAUCCCUCUGUCACCUCACCCUUCCCUGUGCCACAUGGGCCCUCUCUCUCCUGCCAGGACGCUGCGGCUCUGGGGACCUCGGAGCCUGGGGGUGGCUCUGGGAGUCUUCAUGACCAUUGGCUUUGCACUCCAGCUCUUGGGAGGGCCCUUCCAGAGGAGGCUACCCGGGCUACAGCUCCGACAGCCCUCGGCCCCAUCCCUACUGUCCUGCCCACCCCGGCAGCGACUGGUGUUCCUGAAGACACAUAAAUCCGGGAGCAGCUCUGUGCUGAGCCUGCUUCACCGCUAUGGGGACCGGCACGGGCUGCGCUUCGCCCUCCCUGCCCGCUACCAGUUUGGCUACCCAAAGCUCUUCCAGGCCUCUAGGGUAAAAGGCUACCGCCCACAGGGUGGAGGCACCCAGCUCCCCUUCCACAUCCUCUGUCACCACAUGAGGUUCAACCUGAAAGAGGUACUUCAGGUCAUGCCUUCUGACAGCUUCUUUUUUUCCAUUGUCCGAGACCCAGCGGCUCUGGCUCGCUCUGCCUUCUCCUACUAUAAAUCCACCUCAUCAGCCUUCCACAAGUCACCAUCUUUGGCUGCCUUCCUGGCCAAUCCUCGAGGCUUCUACAGGCCUGGGGCCCGUGGGGACCACUACGCUCGCAACUUACUAUGGUUUGACUUUGGCCUGCCCUUUCCCCCAGAGAAGAGGGCCAAGAGAGGGAAUAUUCAUCCCCCCAGAGACCCCAACCCCCCACAGCUGCAGGUCUUGCCUUCUGGUGCUGGCCCUCGAGCCCAAACCCUCAAUCCCAAUGCCCUCAUCCAUCCUGUUUCCACUGUUACUGAUCAUCGCAGCCAGAUAUCAAGCCCUGCCUCUUUCGAUUUGGGGUCUUCAUCCUUCAUCCAGUGGGGUCUGGCCUGGCUGGACUCUGUCUUUGACCUGGUCAUGGUGGCUGAGUACUUCGAUGAGUCAUUGGUUCUGCUGGCAGAUGCCCUGUGCUGGGGUCUAGAUGACGUGGUGGGCUUCAUGCACAAUGCCCAGGCUGGACGUAAGCAGGGCCUCAGCACUGUCAGCAACAGUGGACUGACUGCGGAGGACCGGCAGCUGACUGCACGGGCCCGAGCCUGGAACAACCUGGACUGGGCUCUCUAUGUCCACUUCAACCGCAGUCUCUGGGCACGGAUAGAGAAAUACGGCCAGGGCCGGCUGCAGAAAGCUGUGGCCGAGCUCCGGGCUCGCCGAGAGGCCCUAGCGAAACAUUGUCUGGUAGGGGGUGAGGCUUCUGACCCCAAAUACAUCACUGAUCGCCGGUUCCGCCCCUUCCAGUUUGGGUCAGCUAAGGUUUUGGGCUAUAUACUUCGGAGUGGAUUGAGCCCCCAAGACCAAGAGGAAUGUGAGCGCCUAGCUACCCCUGAGCUCCAGUACAAGGACAAGCUGGAUGCCAAGCAGUUCCCCCCUACCGUCUCACUGCCCCUCAAGACUUCAAGGCCACUCUCCCCAUAAACAUCAGACUACAGAUUUAGGUGGAAGAGCAGCCAUGUUUGAAGGGCACAUGUGAUGAGUGGGGGGCAGCAAGAUGCCAUUUCUGCAUCUCCCAGAAGGGAUGAGUCUUUGUCCCGAUGCAAGCCCCCUCUUCGCUGGGCUCCCAGCAGUGCUUCCCUCCUCCACCCUACACUCAUUUUGUUCUUUCCCCCCAACUUUUUUUUUUUUUGAAACGGAGUCUUGCUCUGUCCCCCAGGCUGGGGUGCAGUGGCAUGAUCUCGGCUCACUGCAACCUCUGCCUCCCAGGUUCAAGCGAUUCUCCUGCCUCAGCCUCCAGAGUAGCUAGGAUUACAGAUGCGUGCCACCAUACCCGGCUAAUUUUUAUAUUUUUAGAGACAGGGAUUCAACAUGUUGGUUAGGCUGGUCUUGAACUCCUCACCUCAGGUGAUCCACAUGACUCUGCCUCCCAAAGUGCUGCCAUUACAGGCGUGAGCCACUAGGCCUGACCUCCCCUUCCCCUUUCCUGCCCCAAGGCAGAUCCACAUCACCAAAGCUCCCUAGAGGGGCAAAAGAUGGAGUGAGCCACAGAAAGUUUGGGGCGUGGUGAGUUGGAAUGAUACGUCCAUUUCUCUAUGAAAUAUUUGCUACUAGACUGUUCAUUUCUCUCUGAAAUGUUUGUUGAAUGAAUAAAUAAUUUGAAACUUC